GAUGAACGCUGGCGGCGUGCCUAAUACAUGCAAGUCGAGCGAACAGACGAGGAGCUUGCUCCUCUGACGUUAGCGGCGGACGGGUGAGUAACACGUGGAUAACCUACCUAUAAGACUGGGAUAACUUCGGGAAACCGGAGCUAAUACCGGAUAAUAUAUUGAACCGCAUGGUUCCAUAGUGAAAGACGGUUUUGCUGUCACUUAUAGAUUGAUCCGCGCCGCAUUAGCUAGUUGGUAAGGUAACGGCUUACCAAGGCGACGAUGCGUAGCCGACCUGAGAGGGUGAUCGGCCACACUGGAACUGAGACACGGUCCAGACUCCUACGGGAGGCAGCAGUAGGGAAUCUUCCGCAAUGGGCGAAAGCCUGACGGAGCAACGCCGCGUGAGUGAUGAAGGUCUUCGGAUCGUAAAACUCUGUUAUUAGGGAAGAACAAAUGUGUAAGUAACUAUGCACGUCUUGACGGUACCUAAUCAGAAAGCCACGGCUAACUACGUG
rnacentral:rRNA from 1 species